AAAGUCGUAACAAGGUCUCCGUUGGUGAACCAGCGGAGGGAUCAUUACUGAGUUAUCACAACUCCAACCCAUGUGAAUCAUACCAAUGUUGCCUCGGCGGGGGAAGCAGCCCCUACCCGGGACCUACCCGGGAAGACGGUUUCGGACCCCGCCGGUGGAUCUUCAGACUCUGUUUUCUAGUGGCACUUCUGAGUAUACUAUAAAAAUAAGUCAAAACUUUCAACAACGGAUCUCUUGGUUCUG
rnacentral:misc_RNA from 1 species